GGUUGGGUGGAUGUAACACCAAAAUUUAUUUAAAUUUUAUUUUUUACAUUUUUAGUACAGCUAUAUAUUGGCUACUUGGAAAUAAAAAAUGCAUAUAAAUAAUAGAAAAAGUAAAACAACGAACAGAUUGUUUAGUCUGAUGCUUAAUCAUAUUCACGAUAGAAUUAUCAGAAUAUAAAAUAUUACAAUAAAAGUAUUCUAAAAAUGGCAUUUAAAAAGCAGAAAUAAGGUAGAAAUAAAUGAUAAAUACAAAAAAAAAAUAACAGAAAAUGUUGAAAUCUGUUCGUUUGAAAAAAAAAAGAACAACUGACAAAAGAAAUACUCAUAAAUACAAGUACACUUAUCAACAUCAUAUUACAAGUAAAAGGUUUGCCGAUUUAAGUAUUUUGGAUAAACACGGCAAGGCAGACGGACGGGGAUUUGUAUAAUGGGCGUGGCCUGUUUCGUGGGCGUGUCAUUUCCGCUUAUCCCACACUGAUGUCCCUCAUCUCUCCUGCUCUGUGAAUCCACAACAUAAAUAUCACCGCUAUUUUACAGCCUUUACUCAAGCAAAAGAGUAAUUAGAAUACAACGCUUUCAAAAUGCUCUUAAAUUUGGGAAACGUCAUGAAAAUCCUCCGAGGACAGCAAACUUUCCAUGUUUAAAGCCCCAGUCCUCCGUAUCCCUGAUGCUUCGGAAAAGAGGACACAACUGAAGUCCAACGGACGAGAAGGAGAGACUAAAUUCAUAAGACUGAACAUAUUUGCAACGAAUUUACUGCAGGUGUAGUGUUUAUAACCCAUAAAGGCUGCAGACAGCGUCAUUCAUCGCAUCAUCGAAGAGGAACAAUUGGUCACAUGGAGAAUGGAGACUGGACACACAUGAUGGUGGACAUUACCCUAAAUGUUGGUGGAAAUUUGUACACCACGUUGCUUUCCACCCUCCAGCGUUAUCCAGACUCUAUGUUGGGCGCCAUGUUUCGUGGUGACUUUCCCACU